ACACCGGUUCUUUUAAGAACCACCAAUUUUCCAAAAAAGAAUAAA
rnacentral:ncRNA from 1 species